rnacentral:lncRNA from 1 species
CAUAUAGACUCCAUGUUGGGGCUAUUGGUUUUAUUUUCUGAGCUUUCAAGGGUAAUGAAACCACUUCUUUAGGCGUAGAAACAAUGUCAACAGGAUAUGUGAAGUCGACGAUGAAGUCUGCCACUGCUUGGCCCUUCUCAGCUGGCUUUGGUUGGUAGGAAAUGUCAAACUCACCCAAUGUUAUCGCCCAUUUGAUCAUUCGCCCAGAAGUGUCAGGACUUUGGAGUAUCUAUCGAAGAGGAUGAUUGGUAAGCACAAUGAUGGAGUGUGCUUAGAAGUAAGGGCGAAGUUUUCAAGCAGACAUGACC